CAACUCUUCGCCACCUGGGGCUAUAUUAUGUUCCAAGGGUUGGGCAUCUCGCUGAUUAAAGUGAUAUGUGAGCUGGGUUCAGAACGUCGUGAGACAGUUU
rfam:Lupinus angustifolius cultivar Tanjil contig_27772, whole genome shotgun sequence.